GACGAACGCUGGCGGCGUGCUUAACACAUGCAAGUCGAACGGUGAAAGCGGAGCUUGCUCUGCUGGAUCAGCGGCGAACGGGUGAGUAACACGUGAGCAAUCUGCCCCUGACUCUGGGAUAAGCGCUGGAAACGGCGUCUAAUACCGGAUACGAGCUGCGAAGGCAUCUUCAGCAGCUGGAAAGAACUUCGGUCAGGGAUGAGCUCGCGGCCUAUCAGCUAGUUGGUGAGGUAACGGCUCACCAAGGCGUCGACGGGUAGCCGGCCUGAGAGGGUGACCGGCCACACUGGGACUGAGACACGGCCCAGACUCCUACGGGAGGCAGCAGUGGGGAAUAUUGCACAAUGGGCGCAAGCCUGAUGCAGCAACGCCGCGUGAGGGAUGACGGCCUUCGGGUUGUAAACCUCUUUUAGUAGGGAAGAAGCGAAAGUGACGGUACCUGCAGAAAAAGCACCGGCUAACUACGUGCCAGCCGCCGCAGUAA
rnacentral:rRNA from 1 species